rnacentral:rRNA from 1 species
AUUGAACGCUGGCGGCAGGCCUAACACAUGCAAGUCGAGCGAGCGGCGGACGGGUGAGUAAUGUAUGGGGACUGCCCGAUAGAGGGGGAUAACUACUGGAAACGGUGGCUAAUACCGCAUACUAUCGGAUAACCCAUAUGGGAUAAGCUAGUAGGUGGGGUAAAGGCUCACCUAGGCGACGAUCGCUAGCUGGUCUGAGAGGAUGAUCAGCCACACGGGGAUGAAGACACGCCCCAGACUCCUACGGAGGCAGCAUUGGGGAAGAUUGCACAAGGGGCGCAAGCCUGCUGCAGCCAUGCCGCGUGUAGGAAGAAGGCCUUCGGGUUGUAAAGUUCUUUCGGCAGCGAGGCGUUAACUACAGAAGAAGCACCGGCUAACUCCGUGCCAGCCGCCGCGGUAAUAC